UUUCCGUAGGUGAACCUGCGGAAGGAUCAUUCAUAAUAAGUGUUUUAUGGCACUUUUUAAAUCCAUAUCCACCUUGUGUGCAAUGUCAGGGUUGAUUUUUCUCUCGAGAGGAUCAACCCCAAACAUCAACUAUAUCUCAACUCUUUGUCUGAAAAAUAUUAUGAAUAAAACAAUUCAAAAUACAACUUUCAACAACGGAUCUCUUGGCUCUC
rnacentral:misc_RNA from 1 species